AAAACGAGUUUAUAAAAAUUUGCACGAAGUUUGCUUUAUAUAAACUUUUGCAUUAUUAUUUAAAUAAGAAUGAGUAAAGAUGAACUUUCUCUCCAAUUGGAAGAUUUAUCGGAUUCAUACCCAAACACUCCUGUAAUUUCAUAUCCAACUGCAAAUUUAGAAACUAGGCAUAUUUUAGCGUCAUAUGGAGAUGUCUGUGCUAAAAUUAAAGAACAUGAAAUGUUACACACAGUGCAUUACGUUGUUGCUUUUAAACAAAGCAUGGAAAAAAGCAUAGAAGAUAUAAUGAAAAAAAAUCGCAAGGUGUAUUUUGAGCAUAAAGAUUAUCCCUAUUCAGGAAUACCUUUUAUUUUUUCUUCAUCUAGUAUUCUUUACUGCCAACAGGGUAAAGACAAAAAUUGUGCAGCAAAAAAUAAGUACAGAAUGAAAAAAAACCAAGAAGCAACAGCAGAUCAUUCUUUCCAGAAAAAGCGAGUUCUUAUGCAGGAUACCAAGAAGUUUGAUUGUCCUGCCAAUAUUUCUCUAAAAGAAAUAGUUGAAUUCCCUGCUUUUAAGCUGGAUAGAGAUUCUCUAAGAGGUAGAAGAGAAGCAUCAAAGAAAUUGCAUUCAGCUUUGACAACUCUAACUGAAUUUUCAAUUCUUAGAAAGUAUAUCUUAUUGUUACCUGACAUUUCCGUUCAUAAAAAUCAUCUUAUUAAUGAUGCAGCAGGUUUUAAUCAGCCUUUAUCAAAAGAAAUUAUUACAAAAAUUGCUGAACUUGUUAAAAAUGGUGUCAAUACGGUUCCGGAAAUGAGACGUCACCUGAAUGCCUUUGUUCAUCUGGAACUUCAGUCAGAUGUGACUGCAAAGAAAUCCAACAAACGAUUUUUUCCGCGUGAUGAAACAAUUGCUAAUCAUAUAAAGAAAGCUAGACAAAGUCUUCGCAGAUCUUUGAUAGAUCAAGAAUGUCUUCGUGAAAAGAUAAAUGAAUGGAAACUCUAUUUUCCAGAUGCGUUAAUAAUGUUUCGGCCAAAAGGAGAAUGCAAUCUAGAAGACAAUGGUCCAUAUCCUAAAGAUUCUUUUUUGUUUAUUUAUCAAGAUGCAUGGCAACAAAGAUUACUCUUACGAUAUGGGAAUGAGCUUGCCUUUCUGGAUGCAACAUAUCGUACAACGCGAUAUGCGCUUCCACUUUUUUUUCUUGUUGUCAAAACAAAUAUUGAUUAUCAAGUUGUUGCAAUUUUUGUUUGUGAAAAUGAAACAACUGAGGCAAUUACAGAAGCCCUAAUGUACAUCAAAAAGUGGAAUCUAUUGUUUCAACCAACUUAUUUUUUAACUGAUUACAGCAAUGAAGAAAUAAAUUCACUUGAAUCUGUUUUCCCUGGAUGCCAGGUACAUAUUUGUGACUUUCAUCGUGAACAAGCAUGGGAACGAUGGCUUUCUAAAACCGCUAAUGGAUGUUGCAGGGGCUCAAUGUAACACUUGCCAAAAAUGGUAUCAUCGCGAAUGCAAAAAGAUACCGCAGAGUGCCUAUGAAACAGAAGAUGAACUAUGGAAUUGUCACAGCUGGCGGUAAGCGUAUCUUGGCUACCUUCACGUUGGUGCUUACUGAUAAAAAUGAUUUCAAAAGGUUAAGUUCAUAUACUUUCCUUUUGAUUCAUAACUAAAUGCCAAGACGAAAAAGAAAAUUAAUCUAAACUGAAAACGCUACAAAUUAAUAUUAACCGAAUAAAAAUCCCUUUUUAUAGACGCUAAAUAUUAAAAACUCAAAAUUAAUCUGAGAAACUUUGAUAAAAUGAAUAUAAACUAAUUGUAAAUUUUAAAG
rnacentral:misc_RNA from 1 species